UACAGAGGGGGCAAGCGUUGUUCGGAAUUACUGGGCGUAAAGGGCGCGUAGGCGGGCCGUCAAGUCGAGGGUGAAAUCCCCCAGCUCAACUGGGGAAGUGCCUCCGAUACUGGCGGCCUCGAGGGGGAUAGGGGCAUGCGGAACUUCCGGUGGAGCGGUGAAAUGCGUAGAUAUCGGAAGGAACACCGGUGGCGAAAGCGGCGUGCUGGAUCCCUUCUGACGCUCAUGCACGAAAGCGUGGGGAGCAAACAGG
rnacentral:rRNA from 1 species